GACGAACCGAGCGAACGUUGUUCGGAAUCACUGGGCUUAAAGGGCGCGUAGGCGGCUUUGCAAGUCCCAUGUGAAAUCCCACGGCUCAACCGUGGAAGUGCAUGGGAAACUGCAGAGCUUGAGUACUUAAGAGGAUCGCGGAAUUCCCGGUGUAGAGGUGAAAUUCGUAGAUAUCGGGAGGAACACCAGUGGCGAAGGCGGCGAUCUGGGAAGAUACUGACGCUGAGGUGCGAAAGCGUGGGGAGCAAACAGG
rnacentral:rRNA from 1 species